UUUAAAACAAAAUUAAUAGUGUAUGUAUCAUUCAGUAUUACGCUGUAAACAAUCAAACCCCUUCUAGUUUAAUAUUAGUCUUCAGAGCACGUCCAUGAGGUGAACGUUCUGAACACAUACAGCCCACCUAACCCAUAAUAUAAACACACGAAGGUGGAUAGUACACGUUUGGUCUAUAUAUAUUAAAUGGUGUUCUUCAGUGUGACCUAGGCCAUAGACAGACUAGACUCAUUACGGUACCCAUACCUAAAACACACGAUGUUAUGGGUGUACUAAGGUAUUUGUGGCGCAGUUCUGCACAGUAAAUGGCGGAUAUUUACAGACUAAAUUAUACAUCUGCAAUAUUAAGUAUACUGGCUAUUAUAUCCCUUGGGUGGCAUACGAUAGCUCAAGACCCAGUAUUGAUACAACGUCCGAGGCGUUACGAUCUACUACAAACACUGUGUGAUGAAGAAAAAUGCGUAAAGAUUAGCACUUCAACAUUACUUAAUUAUUACGAUGGACUGUUUCAUACACAGGAAGAGAUCGGCGAUAAAUUAAAAGAAUGGGCCACGUUACAUCGUGAAAAGUAUGGCCAAACCAGACCAGCAUCAUUCCUGUAUCAAGUUUGCAAAGACCCUUACUAUGCAUCGAAUAGCUUUUGCACAAACUUUAAAACGCAGAAUCAAGAUUUUGAUCUAUGUUGUCCCACGAGCUUUUAUCACACACCAAAUGUUAACAUGGUUAAUAUUCGUCGGCAGACAAAGGUCCUUGUUACGUUACAAAAUCCAGAAAGAAAACAAUUUGUUCCUUAUGCUCAGUGUUUAGCUAGUGGGGCAUGUUUUGAAAGUCUGGGAUCAUGUCAGACAGAUACUAUUGAAAUUCCGUUGCUGGUUGUCGAUCCGGAACAUAUCCCCCCUUGUAAAUUUGACACAUUUUCCGUCCCAGCUUAUUGUUCGUGUAAAUCAAAUUAAUUAAACCAAAUGUGUUUUAAAAAAUAAAAAGUAAUCUGUCAUU